GAUGAACGCUAGCUACAGGCUUAACACAUGCAAGUCGAGGGACAGGCGCACGGGUGAGUAACACGUAUCCAACCUGCACUUUACACGGGGAUAGCCUUUCGAAAGAAAGAUUAAUACCCGAUUUAGAGGAUGGGGAUGCGUUCCAUUAGGUGGUUGGUGUGGUAACGGCUAACCAAGGCUUCGAUGGAUAGGGGUUAUGAGAGGAAGUCACCCCACAUUGUAACUGAGACACUGGCCAAACUCCUACGGGAGGUUGCAGUUGGGAAUAUUGUUCAAUGGGCGCGAGCCUGAACCAGCCAAGUAGCGUGAAGGAUGAAGGCUUAUGGGUCGUAAACUUCUUUUAUAUAAGAAUAUGUAUUAUAUGAAUAAGGAUCGGCUAACUCCGUGCCAGCCGCCGCGGUAAUAC
rnacentral:rRNA from 1 species